rnacentral:rRNA from 1 species
AGCAGGCGCGUAAAUUGCCCGAAUCCUGACACAGGGAGGUAGUGACAAGAAAUAACGAUACAGGGCUACAUCUAGUCUUGUAAUUGGAAUGAGUACAAUUUACAUCUCUUAACGAUGAUCAAUUGGAGGGCAAGUCUGGUGCCAGCAGCCGCGGUAAUUCCAGCUCCAAUAGCGUAUAUUAAAGUUGUUGCAGUUAGAACGCUCGUAGUCGGAUUUCGGGGCGUUCCGACCGGUCUGCCGAUGGGUAUGCACUGGCCGGAGUGUCCUUUUUGCCGGAGACCGUGCCUACUCUUAACUGAGCGGGGGCGGGAAACGGCACUUUUACUUUGAAAAAAUCAGAGUGUUUCAAGCAGGCAGUUCGCUCUUGCAUGGAUUAGCAUGGGAUAAUGAAAUAGGACUUUGGUGCUAUUUUGUUGGUUUCGAACACCGAAGUAAUGAUGAGAAGGGACAGUCAGGGGCACUCGUAUUCCGCAGAGAGAGGUGAAAUUCUCAGACCCGCGGAAGACGAACCACUGCGAAAGCAUUUGCCAGGGAUGUUUUCACUGAUCAAGAACGAAAGUUAGGGGAUCGAAGAUGAUCAGAUACCGUCGUAGUCUUAACCAUAAACCAUGCCGACUAGGGAUUGGAGGAUGUUCACUGAUUGACUCCUUCAGCACCUUACGGGAAACUAAAGUCUUUGGGUUCCGGGGGGAGUAUGGUCGCAAGGCUGAAACUUAAAGGAAUUGACGGAAGGGCACCACCAGGUGUGGAGCCUGCGGCUUAAUUUGACUCAACACGGGGAAACUUACCAGGUCCAGACAUUGUGAGGAUUGACAGAUUGAGAGCUCUUUCAUGAUUUUAUGGGUGGUGGUGCAUGGCCGUUCUUAGUUGGUGGAGUGAUUUGUCUGGUUAAUUCCGUUAACGAACGAGACCUUAGCCUGCUAAAUAGUGACGCGAACUCUUUGUUGGCGGUCCACUUCUAAAGGGACAACUUGUCUUCAACAAGUGGAAGUUUGAGGCAAUAACAGGUCUGUGAUGCCCUUAGACGUUCUGGGCCGCACGCGCGCUACACAGAUGCACUCAACGAGUCUCCACCUUGACCGAGAGGUCCGGGAAACCUUCGAACUUGCAUCGUGAUGGGGAUAGAUUAUUGCAACUAUUAAUCUUCAACGAGGAAUACCUAGUAGGCGCAUGUCAUCAGCGCGCGUUGA